CCUACGGGAGGCAGCAGUGAGGAAUAUUGGUCAAUGGACGCAAGCCUGAACCAGCCAUGCCGCGUGCAGGAUGACGGCCCUAGGAGUUGUAAACUGCUUUUGUACGAGGGUAAACCCCGAUACGUGUAUCGGGUUGAAAGUACCGUACGAAUAAGGAUCGGCUAACUCCGUGCCAGCAGCCGCGGUAAUACGGAGGAUCCGAGCGUUAUCCGGAUUUAUUGGGUUUAAAGGGUGCGUAGGCGGUUUGAUAAGUUAGAGGUGAAAGGUCGGGGCUCAACCCCGAAACUGCCUCUAAUACUGUUGGACUAGAGUACAGUUGCGGUAGGCGGAAUGUAUGGUGUAGCGGUGAAAUGCUUAGAUAUCAUACAGAACACCGAUUGCGAAGGCAGCUUACCAAACUGUAACUGACGUUGAGGCACGAAAGCGUGGGUAGCAAACAGGAUUAGAUACCCCUGUAGUC
rnacentral:rRNA from 1 species